rnacentral:rRNA from 1 species
GACGAACGCUGGCGGCGUGCCUAACACAUGCCAGUCGAACGGAAAGGCCCUGCUUUUGUGGGGUGCUCGAGUGGCGAACGGGUGCGUAACACGUGAGUAACCUGCCCUUGACUUUGGGAUAACUUGAGGAAACUGGGGCUAAUACCAGAUAGUAGCUCCUGCUGUUUGGUGGGGGUUGGAAAGUUUCGGAGUGUGGGAAUGGACUCGCGGCUUAGCAGCUUGUUGGUGGGGUAGUGGAUUACCAAGGCUAUGACGGGUAGCCGGCCUGAGAGGGUGACCGGCCACAUUGGGACUGAGAUAGGGCCCGGACGGCUACGGGAGGAAGCAGUGGGGAAUAGUGCACAAUGGGCGGAAGCAUGAUGCAGCAACGCCGGGUGCGGGAGGACUGCUUUAGGGGUGGAAACCGUUUGCGCCUGUGACGAAGCGUGUGUGACGGUAACGGGUAAAGAAGCACCGGCUAACUACGUG